AAACUGAAAACAGAGGUUGACACACAGAUCACACAAAUAAGGCUAAGCAUCCCUGGAACUUUCAAGUGUUCUUCACAUGACAGGCUCCCAGUUUCUUCACCAUCGUUACCUACUUUUGAGUGUGCUCCAGUGGUCAAAGUCCCUUUUAAAUUGUGGUAUCUUGAAGAAAGUACUCCAAAUACAAUCUGCUAAGAAAAGAAGAAGAGAAAGAAAAAAAGAGAGAGAGAAAGAAAGAAUGAAGAAAGAUAAAAAGAAAGAAGGAAAGAAAAAAAGAAAGGAAAAAAAAGAAAAGGAGAAAGGAAGAAAGAAAAAGAGUCCUGCAUGAGAGAGAAGG
rnacentral:lncRNA from 1 species